GUGGGGAAUUUUGCGCAAUGGGCGCAAGCCUGACGCAGCAACGCCGCGUGAGUGAUGAAGGUCUUCGGAUCGUAAAGCUCUGUCGGCGGGAACGAUGCUUUCGCUGGAUAACACCCAGCGGGACUGACGGUACUCGCAAAGGAAGCACCGGCUAACUCUGUGCCAGCAGCCGCGGUAAGACAGAGGGUGCAAGCGUUGUUCGGAAUCAUUGGGCGUAAAGGGCGCGUAGGCGGCUUGGCAAGUUGGAUGUGAAAGCCCCGGGCUUAACCCGGGAAGUGCAUCCAAAACUGCUUUGCUUGAGUGCUGGAGAGGGUGGCGGAAUUCCCAGUGUAGAGGUGAAAUUCGUAGAUAUUGGGAGGAACACCCGUGGCGAAGGCGGCCACCUGGACAGACACUGACGCUGAGGCGCGAAAGCGUGGGGAGCAAACAGGAUUAGAAACCCUAGUAGUCC
rnacentral:rRNA from 1 species